UACGUAGGGGGCAAGCGUUGUCCGGAUUUACUGGGCGUAAAGAGCGUGUAGGCGGCCAAGCAGGUCCGUUGUGAAAACUGGAGGCUUAACCUCCAGACGUCGACGGAAACCGCGUGGCUAGAGUCCGGAAGAGGAGAGUGGAAUUCCUGGUGUAGCAGUGAAAUGCGCAGAUAUCAGGAAGAACACCUAUGGCGAAGGCAGCUCUCUGGGACGGUACUGACGCUGAGACGCGAAAGCGUGGGGAGCGAGCAGG
rnacentral:rRNA from 1 species